GAUGUACUCUCUCCGUUCCAAAUUACUUGACCCAUACUUAUCUAAACACGGAUGUAUCUAGACACUAAACAAGUAUAGAUACAUCCGUAUUUAGAAAAAUUCAAGUGAACUAAUUUAGAACGGAGGGAGUAGGUU
rfam:Triticum urartu cultivar G1812 contig927114, whole genome shotgun sequence.